rnacentral:lncRNA from 1 species
CGUCGUCGUCGUCGUCGUCGUCGUCGUCGUCGUCGUCGUCGUCGUCGUCGUCGUCGUCGUCGUCGUCGUCGUCGUCGUCGUCGUCGUCGUCGUCGUCGUCGUCGUCGUCGUCGUCGUCGUCGUCGUCGUCGUCGUCGUCGUCGUCGUCGUCGUCGUCGUCGUCGUCGUCGUCGUCGUCGUCGUCGUCGUCGUCGUCGUCGUCGUCGUCGUCGUCGUCGUCGUCGUCGUCGUCGUCGUCGUCGUCGUC